CCCUUAGAGUUUGAUCCUGGCUCAGAACGAACGUUGGCGGCGUGGAUUAGGCAUGCAAGUCGGGGGAAUCCCAGCAAUGGGGGAACCGGCGUAAGGGGCAGUAAUGUGCGGGUACCUACCUUUGGGUUCGGGAUAGCCAUCAGAGAUGGUGGGUAAUACCGGAUGACGUCGUGAGACCAAAGAUUUAUCGCCCGAAGAGGGGCCCACAUGAUAUUAGCUAGUUGGUGAGGUAACGGCUCACCAAGGCGAAGAUGUCUAGCGGGUGUGAGAGCGCGACCCGCGCCACUCGCACUGAGACACUGGCGAGACACCUACGGGUGGCUGCAGUCGAGGAUCUUCGGCAAUGAGCGCAAGCUUGACCGAGCGACGCCGCGUGAGCGAUGAAGGCCUUCGGGUUGUAAAGCUCUUUAGUGGGGGAGAAAAGCCCGCAAGGGUGUGAUCUAUCCCAAAAAUAAGCACGGGCUAAGUUCGUGCCAGCAGCCGCGGUAAGACGAACCGUGCGAACGUUGUUCGGAACCACUGGGCUUAAAGGGCGCGUAGGCGGGCUGACAAGUCUGGGGUGAAAUGCCGCGGCUCAACCGUGGAACUGCCUUAGAUACUGUCGGCCUCGAGGAAGGUAGGGGCAUGCGGAACUGUAGGUGGAGCGGUGAAAUGCGUUGAUAUCUACAGGAACUCCGGUGGCGAAAGCGGCGUGCUGGACCUUUUCUGACGCUGAGGCGCGAAAGCUAGGGGAGCAAACGGGAUAGAUACCCCGGUAGUCCUAGCCCUAAACGAUGGGUACUAGGUAGUAGACUAGACAUGGGUUUACUGCGAAGCUAAAGUGCUAGUACCCGCCUGGGGGAG
rnacentral:rRNA from 1 species